GCCGAUGUAGCUCAGUGGUAGAGCAACGGUUUUGUAAACCGUAGGUCGUCGGUUCGAUACCGACCAUCGGCUCCA
rnacentral:tRNA from 1 species